CUUCAGUGAUGACACGAUGACGAGUCGGAACGGGACUCGGUCUGUUUCUGUGGGUCACUGGCUCAGAUCCACGUUUUGUGGUUCUGCUCCAGUUCUUCAGAGCAGUGAGUCCUUUUCAGUUGAAGACAUUGAGGCAUUUGUCUGAGAAGG